rnacentral:rRNA from 1 species
UACGUAGGGUGCGAGCGUUGUCCGGAAUUAUUGGGCGUAAAGAGCUCGUAGGCGGUCUGUUGCGUCGGCUGUGAAAACCCGGGGCUCAACCUCGGGCCUGCAGUGGGUACGGGCAGACUAGAGUGCGGUAGGGGAGAUUGGAAUUCCUGGUGUAGCGGUGGAAUGCGCAGAUAUCAGGAGGAACACCAAUGGCGAAGGCAGAUCUCUGGGCCGUAACUGACGCUGAGGAGCGAAAGCAUGGGGAGCGAACAGG